rnacentral:lncRNA from 1 species
CCUUGUUUUCCUCCAUUUUUGUUUCAUUUCAGUGUGUGUGUUGACUUUGAUGGCACAUGACUUUUAAGCAUUAGGAUUUUUGCCAAGCAGAAUUUUUGAAGCCUUGAGGCCUGUGACCCAAGCACAGGUGCAGGCAUGCCUGGAAGGCUUCAGGCUGAAACCAGCAGUUCCCUGCUUUCUGGGUCUGUCUGCAGAGUUCACUGCAGUUUCAGACCUUGAUGAGUGCUCUAGUCAGGAAGCCGGUCCCCAGACAGUAGUCUGUUUUGGCAGGACUUCAGGAGUUAAUCAUUCCUUAGGCCUCCCUUGGCCCCUUUACCUGCGUUCUUAGGUGGGAAUGAAUUAGACACUUGGAAGGCUGUUGGGUCAAGGUUCUGGGCACAGGGCAGGGUGCUCCUGUCUUUACUAAGUGUACUGCUAGUGGAGUUUUCGCCAUGUCAUUUCUACCUCCAAAGUGAGGCUCCAGAGUUCGUCGUCAGAGCCUGCUCUUCCACAUCUGGUCCAAGCAGGAGUACAAGGAAGUCCACUUCUACACCCGUGAGCACAAACACGUCUGUAUUCGUCAUUUAGUCCAACCCAUUACAGGCAUUCCUGGAACAGAGCUCGCUGUGGAGUAGCAAGGAGCAAGACCGGAGCUAUCGUUAGCAGGGAAGCUUGCUCUGCCCGGCUGCUGGGGGACCUACUUGCCUCCAGCUUGGUUGAGGUCCGUGUUCUGACUUUCUGCACCCUUGUGCUAGACGAUGCGUGUUAUUACACAAAAGUGGGCCGCCUGUGGCAUCAAGACUGCAACUCGACAAUCAUGGUUUGCUGAUCUCAAACGGGCACUUAAAUCUCAGUGUGGGUGUGUGAUUUUAGUGACUGAGCCCGUCCUUCUAUUUGUCAGUUACGUUUCUACCCUUCAAUUAGCUGCACUGUUUUCUAAUGUGCUGUAGAGUUUGGAAAUAAUUUAUGCAGUGUUUGGUUCCCAUGUUUACAAAUUUUUACAGCUUUCCUAGCAUUUUAAAUGGAAAUGUCAAUAAAUGCUACGAAUUGGUGUCGAACUGAUACUUUCUGGGUUAUUCCUUUGCAACACAGUUGUUUUGUAGUUUGUUAAGGGUGGUUACCUGUGCUGAGGUGACCUUUGAGUGCAUGCUGAGAAGAACAUCUAGUGUGGUUAAGUCAGCAGCGUCCCACUGAGCGGAGCUGGCAGAAGUGUCUCCACUUGCAUGGCUGGUGCCUACUUUACUGCUGCCCGAUGGCCCUGCUGGCACACCCUUGAGCAGAGGCAGCCGAUGAAAAGGAUGCUUUGGCUUAAAAUGCAAAUGAAAAGAGCGGAGUUCACUCCACCUUGAAAAGAGAAUAGGGCAAACUAGGGGUUGUUUUGGAAACCCAAGAAAAUGAAGCUCCUUGGCAACUCAAGGAAGCAGAACAAUUCACAAAAUCAACAAAAAAAAAACAUGGAAUCUGGGUAAUUCUUGGGUCCCCAAACAUGGAAACGCUGAUGAGAUCCAGUCUGUAUACAGAUUGGGUUUUGUGUUUUGCCAGUUUUGUAUAAAAGGUCUCACUAAUAGGGGGAGCUCUAGAAAAGAUAUAGAAACCCUCUCUGUCGAUUUACAACUUUAUAUAUAAAUAUGCAGAAAAAUUAAUCUGGUCAGGUAGAGCCCACAGGGUAUUGUCACGGCUGUUGCAGUCCUACCUUGGGAUGCUCAUCUCGGACCUGCCACGCUUCUUUGAGGGCAUGGCCCCUACUCAUGGUGAAGGCAGAGCUACCAGUUUCAAGGCUCAAGCAAAUAGCUCAUCUAGGGGAAUUCAGCCAAGUACAGUGGCUUACACCUGUAAUCCUGGCACUGUGGUGACUGAGGCUGGAGGACCGUGAGUUUAAGGCCAAUGCAGUCAACAUAGUGAGAUCCUGUCUCAAAAGUUCAGAGGGUUAUCAUAGCUGAGCGUAGCAUGCUUGGGGCUUUUGGUUCAAUUCUUAGUACCACCAAAGUAAUAAUAAUAAUAGAAACAGUAAUAAUAAUAACAACCAAAAGGAAAUCUUAAAACUCAGAUAGAUCUAAACAUUGAAAACAAAGAAAAAAAUCUUACUGCUGGGCCAGGGGAUGGCUCAGCACUUCUGUAAAGGUGCUGUGUAAGCCUAAAAACUCAAGAUCAGUCCCAGAAGUUGAGGAAGAAAGCUGGAGUCGGGGACCCACAUAUCUCUGAUCCCAGCACUCCUGCAUCCAGAUACGACAGUCACCCUGAAGCUCUUAGAGCUGAGUGUGUAGCACAGCAGCAACAGUCCUGGCCUCAGCAAGCAGGUUUCCACAGGUGUGGCACGGCCAAGUGUGUGCCUGUAUUCGCACAUUCCCCCCACCCACCCAUAAGAUGAUUAACUUUAAAAAAUUUAA